CUCUCUACCUUGUUGCCCUCAAUUUUGGGACCCCUUGUGGGCCUACUUUUGUUGAUUUCCUUUGGUCCUUGGGCCUUCCAACGACUUACACGCUUUAUUAAAUCACAAAUAGAUUCUGCUUUGCCUAGAAAUUCUGUUUCAGUACAUUAUCAUCGCUUGGAGACCGGAACAGCUGAGGAGAACCAGAGAGACAACGAACAAGAUGAGGUGCCUACAACUUAUCGGGAGAGGCUCAAUUUCCACAAUCUCUUAUAUUAAUGCCAUCUGGCCCUUGCUCUUUCGCCCCUGGGCUCAAGUGAGAGGAAUGAGAAGAUGACCUGAUGUACCUAUCCUCAGGGACGGGCAACUUCCUCUGACCCUUGACCAAUCUAAGACAGGAACCUUGGAGGCGACAAGAAAUAUGGGGGAGAUGCACGGAGCCAUAUUGGAUUUGGGCCUAGCCGCUUUUUGACUGCAUGGUUCAAAGUGACUCUGGGCUGUUUGGCCACAGAGACUCACCCCGAAGAUGACUGCCAUAAAUCUUAAGAUUGUUGGAUAAAGCCUCUCCCAUGAAUUUAUGGCACAGGAGUAUAACAUUCAAGGGAUGCCUCAGCUCAAGCAGAUACCAGUUAUCUCCUCAGUCAACACCCAGUGUCUUCACCACCUGACCUCAUCGCCUGACUUCUUUGCCUCCAGAUAUCACUGCCUAUACCCUCAUCUCCCCCUCCUUCAUAUUUCACAUAUUUCACUCCCCCUACCUGAAAGCCUUAAAAGCUGCAAUGUUCAUCCCAAUAAACGAGACCUUGACAACAGAA